GCAUGCCGCGUGAGUGAAGAAGGCCUUCGGGUUGUAAAGCUCUUUUGUCAGGGAAGAAACGGGUCUUUCUAAUACAGAGAUCUAAUGACGGUACCUGAAGAAUAAGCACCGGCUAACUACGUGCCAGCAGCCGCGGUAAUACGUAGGGUGCAAGCGUUAAUCGGAAUUACUGGGCGUAAAGCGUGCGCAGGCGGUUUUGUAAGUCUGUUGUGAAAUCCCCGGGCUCAACCUGGGAAUGGCAAUGGAGACUGCAAGGCUAGAGUUUGGCAGAGGGGGGUAGAAUUCCACGUGUAGCAGUGAAAUGCGUAGAUAUGUGGAGGAACACCGAUGGCGAAGGCAGCCCCCUGGGUCAAAACUGACGCUCAUGCACGAAAGCGUGGGGAGCAAACAGGAUUAGAUACCCUGGUAGUCCACGCCCUAAACGAUGUCUACUAGUUGUCGGGUCUUAAUUGACUUGGUAACGCAGCUAACGCGUGAAGUAGACCGCCUGGGGAGUACGGUCGCAAGAUUAAAACUCAAAGGAAUUGACGGGGACCCGCACAAGCGGUGGAUGAUGUGGAUUAAUUCGAUGCAACGCGAAAAACCUUACCUA
rnacentral:rRNA from 1 species